rnacentral:rRNA from 1 species
UACGUAGGGUGCAAGCGUUAAUCGGAAUUACUGGGCGUAAAGCGUGCGCAGGCGGUUGUGCAAGACAGAUGUGAAAUCCCCGGGCUCAACCUGGGAAUUGCAUUUGUGACUGCACGGCUAGAGUGUGUCAGAGGGGGGUAGAAUUCCACGUGUAGCAGUGAAAUGCGUAGAGAUGUGGAGGAAUACCGAUGGCGAAGGCAGCCCCCCUGGGAUAACACUGGACGCUCAUGCACGAAAGCGUGGGGAGCAAACAGG